GUCGAGCGGUAGAGAGAAGCUUGCUUCUCUUGAGAGCGGCGGACGGGUGAGUAAUGCCUAGGAAUCUGCCUGGUAGUGGGGGAUAACGUUCGGAAACGGACGCUAAUACCGCAUACGUCCUACGGGAGAAAGCAGGGGACCUUCGGGCCUUGCGCUAUCAGAUGAGCCUAGGUCGGAUUAGCUAGUUGGUGGGGUAAUGGCUCACCAAGGCGACGAUCCGUAACUGGUCUGAGAGGAUGAUCAGUCACACUGGAACUGAGACACGGUCCAGACUCCUACGGGAGGCAGCAGUGGGGAAUAUUGGACAAUGGGCGAAAGCCUGAUCCAGCCAUGCCGCGUGUGUGAAGAAGGUCUUCGGAUUGUAAAGCACUUUAAGUUGGGAGGAAGGGCAGUUACCUAAUACGUAAUUGUUUUGACGUUACCGACAGAAUAAGCACCGGCUAACUCUGUGCCAGCCGCCGCGGUAAUACA
rnacentral:rRNA from 1 species